rnacentral:tRNA from 1 species
GAGGGUAUAGCUCAUUGGUAGAGCACGUGCUUGGCAGUGUGCAUGAAGUCCUGGGUUCAAUCCCCAGUGCCUCUG